UACAUACUCCCUCCGUCCGGAAUUACUUGUCGUUAAAACGGAAAGAAAUGGAUGUAUCUAGAACUAAAAUACAUCUAGAUACAUCCAGUUCUAUGACAAGUAAUUCCAAACGAAGGGAGUAUGAU
rfam:Hordeum vulgare subsp. vulgare, WGS project CAJW01000000 data, contig: morex_contig_49167